rnacentral:rRNA from 1 species
ACGUAGGAUCCGAGCGUUAUCCGAAUUCACUGGGCGUAAAGCGCUUGCAGGCGGCGAGGUAAGUUGGAUGUGAAAGCUCCCGGCUCAACUGGGAGAGUGCGUUCAAGACUGCCUGGCUAGAGUACGAAAGAGGGAGGUGGAAUUCCAGGUGUAGUGGUGAAAUGCGUAGAUAUCUGGAGGAACACCAGAGGCGAAGGCGGCCUCCUGGUUCGAAACUGACGCUAAGAAGCGAAAGCUAGGGGAGCGAACGGG